rnacentral:rRNA from 1 species
AGAGUUUGAUCAUGGCUCAGGAUGAACGCUAGCUACAGGCUUAACACAUGCAAGUCGAGGGGAAACGACAUCGAAAGCUUGCUUUUGAUGGGCGUCGACCGGCGCACGGGUGAGUAACGCGUAUCCAACCUGCCCACCACUUGGGGAUAACCUUGCGAAAGUAAGACUAAUACCCAAUGACGUCUCUAGAAGACAUCUGAAGGAGAUUAAAGAUUUAUCGGUGAUGGAUGGGGAUGCGUCUGAUUAGCUUGUUGGCGGGGUAACGGCCCACCAAGGCGACGAUCAGUAGGGGUUCUGAGAGGAAGGUCCCCCCANACUUGGAACUGAGACACGGUCCAAAUCCUACGGGAGCA